rnacentral:misc_RNA from 1 species
GAUGAAGAACGUAGCGAAAUGCGAUAAGUAAUGUGAAUUGCAGAAUUCAGUGAAUCAUCGAAUCUUUGAACGCACAUUGCGCCCCUUGGUAUUCCGAGGGGCAUGCCUGUUCGAGCGUCAUUAUAACCCCUCAAGCUCAGCUUGGUGUUGGGGCCUGCUGCACUGGCAGCCCUUAAAAUCAGUGGCGGCGCCAUCUGGCUCUAAGCGUAGUAAUUCUUCUCGCUAUGGAGUCCUGGUGGAUGCUUGCCAUCAACCCCCAAUUUUUCUAUGGUUGACCUCGGAUCAGGUAGGGAUACCUGCUGAACUUAAGCAUAUCAAUAAGCGGAGGA